UACGGAGGGUGCAAGCGUUGCUCGGAAUUAUUGGGCGUAAAGGGUAGGUAGGUGGUCUUAUUUGUCUGGGGUGAAAGCCUUGAGCUUAACUCAAGAAGUGCCCCAGAAACGGUGAGACUAGAGUCUUGGAGAGGGUCGUGGAAUUCCCGGUGUAGCGGUGAAAUGCGUAGAGAUCGGGAGGAACACCAGAGGCGAAAGCGGCGACCUGGACAAGAACUGACACUCAACUACGAAAGCGUGGGGAGCAAACAGG
rnacentral:rRNA from 1 species